GGAGCGAUGGUGUAGUUGGUUAUUAUGUCUGUCUAACACAAAGUGUACACAGACAGUCCUCAGUUUGAACCUGGGUCGCUUCA